rnacentral:misc_RNA from 1 species
GAUGAAGAACGUAGCGAAAUGCGAUAAGUAGUGUGAAUUGCAGAAUUUAGUGAAUCAUCGAAUCUUUGAACGCACAUUGCGCCCUUUGGUAUUCCUUAGGGCAUGCCUGUUCGAGCGUCAUCUACACCCUCAAGCACAGCUUGGUGAUGGGCGCCUGUCCCGCCCCCCACGGGGGCGCGGAUUCGCCUCAAAUGCAUUGGCGGCCGGCGACCUGGCUUCGAGCGCAGCAGAAACGCGUACUCGGGGACCGGGCGCCCGCUCCCAGAAGCCAACCCACCCAGUUUGACCUCGGAUCAGGUAGGGAUACCCGCUGAACUUAAGCAUAUCAAUAAGCGGAGGA